rnacentral:rRNA from 1 species
CCUACGGGUGGCAGCAGUGGGGAAUAUUGGGCAAUGGGCGCAAGCCUGACCCAGCAAUGCCGCGUGAAGGAAGAAGGCUUUCGGGUUGUAAACUUCUUUGACAGGGGAAGAGCAGAAGACGGUACCCUGAAAACAAGCCACGGCUAACUACGUGCCAGCAGCCGCGGUAAUACGUAGGUGGCAAGCGUUGUCCGGAUUUACUGGGUGUAAAGGGCGUGUAGCCGGGAAGGCAAGUCAGAUGUGAAAUCUGGAGGCUCAACCUCCAAAUUGCAUUUGAAACUGUUUUUCUUGAGUACUGGAGAGGCAGACGGAAUUCCUUGUGUAGCGGUGAAAUUCGUAGAUAUUGGGUAGAACACCGGUGGCGAAGGCGGCUAUCUGGCCAUUUACUGACGCUGAGGCUCGAAAGCAUGGGGAUCAAACAGGAUUAGAUACCCGUGUAGUC